UACGGAGGGGGCUAGCGUUGUUCGGAAUUACUGGGCGUAAAGCGCGCGUAGGCGGAGAUCCAAGUCGGGGGUGAAAUCCCGGGGCUCAACCCCGGAACUGCCUCCGAUACUGGUUCUCUGGCGGACGGGAGAGGCGAGUGGAAUGCCGAGUGUAGAGGUGAAAUUCGUAGAUAUUCGGCGGAACACCCGUGGCGAAGGCGGCUCGCUGGUCCGUUUCUGACGAUGAGGCGCGAAAGCGUGGGGAGCAAACAGG
rnacentral:rRNA from 1 species